CGAGUCCGAGGAGCUAAGGCUCCAAAGUGAUGCGAGUCAGAUUUCCCAGAAAAGCCCGAACCACGUUAAUUUCUAAUUACCUGUACCCGAAACCGACACAGGUAGGAAGGUAGAGAAUACUAAGGGGCGCGAGAUAACUCUCUCUAAGGAACUCGGCAAAAUUACCCCGUAACUUUGGGAGAAGGGGUGCCACCGCAAGGUGGUCGCAGUGAAGAGGCCCAGGCGACUGUUUACCAAAAACACAGGUCUCCGCCAAGUCGCAAGACGCAGUAUGGGGGCUGACGCCUGCCCAGUGCCGGAAGGUUAAGGAAGUUGGUUAGUUUCGACGAAGCUAGCGACCGAAGCCCCGGUGAACGGCGGCCGUAACUAUAACGGUCCUAAGGUAGCGAAAUUCCUUGUCGGGUAAGUUCCGACCCGCACGAAAGGCGUAACGAUCUGGGCACUGUCUCGGAGAGAGGCUCGGCGAAAUAGGAUUGUCUGUGAAGAUACGGACUACCUGCACCUGGACAGAAAGACCCUAUGAAGCUUUACUGUAGCUUGGAAUUGGGUUCGGGCUUCCCUUGCGCAGCAUAGGUGGGAGGCUUUGAAGUCGGGGCGUCAGCCUCGGCGGAGCCAUCGUUGAGAUACCACCCUUACUGCACUGGAAGUCUAACCCAGGCCCGUUAUCCGGGUCGGGGACAGUGUCUGGUGGGUAGUUUGACUGGGGCGGUCGCCUCCAAAAGUGUAACGGAGGCGCCCUAAGGUACCCUCAGGCUGAUUGGAAACCAGCCGCAGAGCGCAAAGGUAUAAGGGUGCUUGACUGCGAGACCUACAAGUCGAGCAGGUACGAAAGUAGGGCUUAGUGAUCCGGCGGUUCCGAGUGGAAGGGCCGUCGCUCAACGGAUAAAAGGUACUCCGGGGAUAACAGGCUUAUCCUGCCCAAGAGUUCACAUCGACGGCAGGGUUUGGCACCUCGAUGUCGGCUCAUCGCAUCCUGGGGCUGAAGCAGGUCCCAAGGGUUCGGCUGUUCGCCGAUUAAAGCGGUACGUGAGCUGGGUUUAGAACGUCGUGAGACAGUUCGGUCCCUAUCUACCGUGGGCGCAGGAUACUUGAGGAGAUCUGUCCUCAGUACGAGAGGACCGGGAUGGACGAACCUCUGGUGUACCAGUUGUCGCGCCAGCGGCAUAGCUGGGUAGCUAUGUUCGGAAAGGAUAACCGCUGAAAGCAUCUAAGCGGGAAGCCCACUCCAAGAUCAGGUAUCCCGGGCGAAAGCCCCUGAAGACCCCAGGAAGACCACCUGGUUGAUAGGCGGGGUGUGGAAGCGUGGCAACACGUGGAGCUGACCCGUACUAAUCGGUCGUGAGGCUUGACCAC
rnacentral:rRNA from 1 species